rnacentral:rRNA from 1 species
AACGCGAAGAACCUUACCAAGUCUUGACAUCCCCCUGACCGGAACUUAACCGUUCCUUUCCUUCGGGACAGGGGAGACAGGUGGUGCAUGGUUGUCGUCAGCUCGUGUCGUGAGAUGUUGGGUUAAGUCCCGCAACGAGCGCAACCCUUAUCUUUAGUAGCCAGCAGUUCGGCUGGGCACUCUAGAGAGACUGCCAGGGAUAACCCGGAGGAAGGUGGGGAUGACGUCAAAUCAUCAUGCCCUUUAUGACCUGGGCUACACACGUAAUACAAUGGCACUUAACAACGGGAGGCAAUAUCGCGAGAUGGAGCAAAACCCCAAAAAGUGUCCCAGUUCGGAUCGCAGGCUGCAACCCGCCUGCGUGAAGUCGGAAUUGCUAGUAAUCGCGGAUCAGCACGCCGCGGUGAAUACGUUCCCGGGUCUUGUACACACCG